rnacentral:rRNA from 1 species
GAUGAACGCUGGCGGCGUGCUUAACACAUGCAAGUCGAGCGAUGAAGUUUCCUUCGGGAAACGGAUUAGCGGCGGACGGGUGAGUAACACGUGGGUAACCUGCCUCAUAGCGUGGAAUAGCCUUCCGAAAGGAAGAUUAAUACCGCAUAACGUUGAAAGAUGGCAUCAUCAUUCAACCAAAGGAGCAAUCCGCUAUGAGAUGGACCCGCGGCGCAUUAGCUAGUUGGUGGGGUAACGGCCUACCAAGGCGACGAUGCGUAGCCGACCUGAGAGGGUGAUCGGCCACAUUGGGACUGAGACACGGCCCAGACUCCUACGGAGGCAGCAGUGGGGAAUAUUGCACAAUGGGGGAAACCCUGAUGCAGCAACGCCGCGUGAGUGAUGAAGGUUUUCGGAUCGUAAUGCUCUGUCUUUGGGGAAGAUAAUGACGGUACUCAAGGAGGAAGCCACGGCUAACUACGUGCCAGCCGCCGCUGUAA